ensembl:lncRNA
GCCAUCACUUUGGAAAAUUCCCUCACUUUAUGGGUUAUAUCGUGCGGAAGGGAAACAAUUCUUGUAUAUCGUGAUGGUUUCUGUUUUAUUGUUUGUUUUUUGCCUUUCGAGUCCCAGCGGAGGGUGCGAGCUGCAUUUUCAGAGCAUAAUGUGUGUGUCAUUUUGGGGGAAAAUGGUGCAUCUGUAGAAGCAGGUUGUGAAAAUGGCACCUGAUAUGACCUCCAUUUUAGAGAAUGGUGGAGGAAUAAUGGAAACCCCGGGAGGUAAAGAGUGCUGCCUUCUCCCCUGCCCUGCGACGGGACCCUGGGCCAGGCAUUAGAGAGGAUGAAUGACAAUACUGAGAUCCCAGCCGCCACACUGCUUGUUUAUGGAUGUGUGUGCACAUCUAUGAAGUGUGCGAUAGAUUAAAGUUGUCUCUGCAAAUGUUGUUUUUUUUUGUGUGAAAUUGAUGAUUGAUGUUUCCCUAUCAUGCAGUGCUGUAAUGUUUCUCUUGUAAUUAACUAUGACACCAAAAAUCUACUCUCGUGUGUCAGAGCAUAAACUGUAUGCAUAAUCUAUGUUUCAAAAAUGUCAUUUUUUUGGCAUAGUCGCCGUUUAAUCAUUCACCGUGCGCCUGUAGCUCUUUUACACUUUGCCCUGAUCCCUGGGAGUCAGACACAUGGAUUCAUUUCCAAACUGGCUUUCAAGAGUCACCACUGCCAGACCCCCUGCUGAGCUAAGCCAUCAGCUUUAUUUGUUGAUCUGUAUUUCUCUCCCUCCCUCUUGGCUCAUUGAGGCAAAGAAGCCUUCUCGUGGGUUACCAUUAGAGGCAGAUAAUCUGCAGUGAUUAGAUAGGUUUUUAUGUGGUGGUUCAGGUCUGGUCCCAGGGAGGCAAGAGGAGAGAGCCUUUCAGCGGAGAAGAAUAGGUCGCAGCGCUCCGCCAGCCACUCAGCUUUGCCUCUUCCUCUCAGAGCUCAGCGGCCAGGGCAGCUGUCUAUUCACACCACCCUGCCAAUUAGGCACAUUCAGCAGGGCACUGGAGAGACACCCAGCCAGAGUCCCUGUGCUGCCACUCACCUGGGAGGCGUGCUGCUCAGUGAUAAUGGCAGUGGGAGAACCAGAAGCAGCUAUCCGCCUCUAGUGAUGCUGAAAUGGGAUUUGGGCUUUGCUCGGGCGGAGGAGGUUAUUAUGGAUCAGGGGGGCCUGGUUUUGAAACAGAGCUAAACUGGGCUGUGGUACGACUUGAACCGCUGGGAUGUCUGUUAGCUUUCCUCGCUAACAAUGGCAGAUAAGACAAAAGUGGUUGUUUGCCAUCUCUCUCUUACACACCGGCCCAUUAAAGGUGUGCUGUUAUCUGAUAAGCCGUGAGGGGUGUGAUCACUUACACACAUAAACACACAAAUACACACCUGCUGUCCCUCAUUCAGUGCUCACUUAUGACCUCAAACCCAUCUCACUCGGUCCACAGUGUCCCUACACUGAAAGAGAGAGAAACUGUUUUGUGGCUCUGUGAUUUUUCUGUUGUUUUGUUCUCGUUCAAGUGCCCUCCUAGCUUAUUUUCCUUUAUUCUUAUCAUUCCAUCUGGCUGCUAGUCACACAUUAAUCUAAAUUCUAAACAGGGUUCUUCCAGUGGUGUUAUCAACUCGUCGUUGAUGUGAGCGUUGGCCCAGGAGAGGGGACGCGGGCAAAGGGGGGAAAAACAACACACAGCACAACAAAUUGAUGUGGAUGGGGGAAUGAGUGAGUGAGAGACAGAGAGAGAGAGAGAGAGAGAGAGAGAGAGAAAGAGAGAGAGAGAGCUUGUAUGCAUGCUUGACUAUUGCACCAAGCUGCAUCAUGACUUCAGUACAGGUGUGAGAUUUAAUCAGAGGUAUAAAAAUUGUCUCAGAAGACUGAAUGUAUAUUCACAUUGAAUGUAAUUUGCAGUGCUGUGUAACCCACUGCAAGUUUGUCUAUUAAUACAACAUUGUUUACAGAUCAAAAGAUUUUACCUAAAAGUAAACAUAAGUAAACAGUUUCACAAUAUAUUGUAAUAUUACUGAAGCUUAAAUGGUUGGUUUAAACAUAUUAUUUUUAUUAUUAUUAUUGAUGUUAUUUAUUUAUUGACCUAUUUAAUAAUAAUAAUAAUAAUAAUAAUAAAACAUUAUUUUAAUUAUUAUCAUUGAUGUUAUUUAUGUAUUGACCUGUUUACUUAUUCAUUUAUCACUAAAUUUUUACCUAAAAAAGUAAACUAGUUUUUUUUUUUUUUUUAAACAACAUCUUGUACUUCAUGUAAAAAAAAAAAAAAAAAAAUCCUACUUACUUCUUUUGAAAGUCAUACAAGUUUGCAACAAAACAAGGGUAAGUAACUAAUUAAAAAAACAUAUUUUUGGGAUAAUCUACAUUUGUGAAAGGGGCACUGAGAGCACAAUGUUUGUUCACCUCAAAAUGUUCUUUGGACUUGCUGUAUGGGCUUACAAAACUGCCUAAAGUCAUGACACAGGGGUCUUUGAGAGGUAUUACUACACUAAGCAAGGGUGCUCAUGCUGGGCCGGGGCUAAGCUGAGCUGCCCCCUGUCCUGUCCUGACAAACUGGGCUGAUAAAGUUUUCCUGGAGCUGUGUCGCAUCCUUAAAUUAGUCCCUGCUUGUCUCCCCUCAGGUUCUGGCUCAGGUAGACUACCAGUGCACUGCCAGAGGGAAGUUCACUGUAAUCUACAGAUUUAGCAGCAGGGUGCCACGUGUUCCUCUACCAGUGCCAUCCUAAAUUGAAUAGGAUCUCUUCCUUUUCCCUGCAUACUGCAG